rnacentral:rRNA from 1 species
AUUGAACGCUGGCGGCAUGCCUUACACAUGCAAGUCGAACGGCAGCACGGGAGCAAUCCUGGUGGCGAGUGGCGAACGGGUGAGUAAUAUAUCGGAACGUGCCCAGUCGUGGGGGAUAACGUAGCGAAAGCUACGCUAAUACCGCAUACGAUCUAUGGAUGAAAGCGGGGGAUCGCAAGACCUCGCGCGAUUGGAGCGGCCGAUAUCAGAUUAGGUAGUUGGUGAGGUAAAGGCUCACCAAGCCGACGAUCUGUAGCUGGUCUGAGAGGACGACCAGCCACACUGGGACUGAGACACGGCCCAGACUCCUACGGGAGGCAGCAGUGAGGAAUAUUGGACAAUGGGCGCAAGCCUGAUCUAGCCAUGCCGCGUGCAGGAAGAAGGUCCUAUGGAUUGUAAACUGCUUUUAUACAAGAAGAAACACUCCCUCGUGAGGGAACUUGACGGUACUGUAUGAAUAAGGACGGCU